rnacentral:rRNA from 1 species
AACGAACGCUGGCGGCAUGCCUAACACAUGCAAGUCGAACGAGACCUUCGGGUCUAGUUGCGCACGGGUGCGUAACGCGUGGGAACCUGCCCUUAUGUUCGGAAUAACUCCCCGCAAGGGGUGCUAAUACCGGUUAAUGUCUUCGGACCAAAGAUUUAUCGCCUUUGGAUGGGCCCGCGUUGGAUUAGCUAGUUGGUAGGGUAAAAGCCUACCAAGGCGACGAUCCAUAGAUGGUCUGAGAGGAUGAUCAGCCACACUGGGACUGAGACACGGCCCAGACUGCGACGGGAGGCAGCAGUGGGGAAUAUUGGACAAUGGGCGAAAGCCUGAUCCAGCAAUGCCGCGUGAGUGAUGAAGGCCUUAGGGUUGUAAAGCUCUUUUACACGGGAUGAUAAUGACAGUACCGGGAGAAUAAGCUCCGGCUAACUCCGUG